UGUGAGAGCAAAAUAGCUUUUCUCACUGGAGAUGCAACAAGAUCGGAUCAUUUUCAAAGCUCGGUGAGCGGUGGGAAUGUUGUGGAGCUCUGUGUGAUCAAGGCCGCUACUGGAAUCCCCAAUGGAUUGUGUGAAAUGACGGACUCRGACCGUGUAAAUCCCAGGACUGUCUUGUGAACAUAGAGGAGAACCGACGRAGCGUGCUUYCAUGAUACAUGCAGCCUCUACCAUCUGUCUGGAACAGUUGGAACGCGCGACRAACUUUGGAAGAGCAAUAAAUCCCGUGUGAAUUUCUUAGUUUGAAUACGGUGACCUUUUCUGACGCAGUCGACAAUCAGACUCUGUCCCUUCUCUUUUUAAUCAUGCUCUGUUUUCUUUCUCAUCCUUCACCCUAACUACCCCUUCACCAGAGAAUCCAUCUCAAUUGACAUCAAAUCUGAGUGGAUUUUUUCCUCCAUCUCUUUUUACUGAAGUUUUACGGAAGACAACUUGCAAAAAUUCACAGGCUGCUUAAAAUUGGACAACAGCGGAUUGGAAAGAAGCUACGAUGUGUGGUGACGGAUGUGGCACAUUUUUCUGAUAUGCCUCUCUACAAACCACGUUAUAGUUCAUCAGUUUCUUUUCUUUUGCAAAUGAAAGUUUACUGUGCACCACAAAGUUUUCACUGAACCGAGUUUAAAAAUCACCCAAAAUCUCAUACAAAUACACCGAAGCAUGUGAUUGUAAUGGAAAAAGAAAAAAGGUGUGAAUAUUCCUCCAAGGCAGCGCAAUGCCACCAU